GAAAAUCAGAGGCUGCAGGGAAAGGUUUUGAUCAAGGUGAUAUGUACAAUUAAUUACUGUUCGUCACCAUAGCUAGCUGUGGUCUUAAAUUGUUCGUACUCUACGAGAUUGAACCUUUAAGGAGGAUGACAUCGUGGACGUCAUAACGUUUUUAUCAUAUUCUCUCAUGGGGACCAUCGGCUUCUUCUUCAUGACCCCAUCACCG
rnacentral:lncRNA from 1 species